ACUUUACCUUGUACCUCAGCAACAAGGAGGUUGUCUCUGGUGUCCACACAUAAACCAUGUGGAAGCUCUAAAUGACAGUUGUCAAUGUAGCGGAGGAACUGUCCGUCCUGAUCCAGGAUGUGGAUACGGGCGUUGACACAGUCUGCUGUCAGGAUGAGACCCUGGCUGUCUGUUGUGAUGCCGUUUGGUUUAAAUGAUCCCUUGGUAGUAGAGGGAGGACCAGUGUAGGUAAACCGGAGUUUCCCGGCCUGAUUGACCACCACUACUGCACCGGCUAUAGGGUCUGACACACAGAUAUCUAGGUUCCUGUUCUCACUGAUGUAUUUAAUGCCACCAGAUGAAUAGAGAGGUUGUCCUUUGUCGUCGUACUGAAUACUUUGUUUCUCUGUGGAGCCAGAGUAACACACAACUUUUGUUUGUUUAUCAUCAUCACUGUCCUUGACAACAAGGAGGUCACCAGAGGAGGUACUACAGACACCGAGAGGUCUCCACCCCCGUAGUCUGAUCACUGUCUGUAUCUGUGUAUUCUUCACUAUGUUCACAGUUCUAUCCCAGUAAUCAGUAUAAACUAGAUCCCCACUCCUUGUCACUGCUAUGUCCCCUGGAUAGUUCCCUGACUUGGUUUGGACUGACUUCACUAGUUCCCCACGGAGGUUGUACAGUCUCAUGAUGUUGUCCAAAACACCACACGUCCACAUCUCCUCAUCACUCAGACAGGACACACUGCGUAAUCGUUCACACUCGGUGUUUAUCUGUGUGAUGAUCCGUGGUACAUCAAUGAGCGGUCUGUCCGGGGGAGACGACUCGGCACCGGGAGAUUCCAUGGUGUAGCCAUGUUCUUCUGUUUUGAUAGAUGACGCUGACAGAGAACCAAACUGUUGAUAAAGCUGUUCUUUGUAGAUCUUCUGAGGGGUAAAACUUGGUAAGGACACUGUGAGUUUAGGAGGCAAUCUUCUGAAUUCAUCAUUCCUGGAUUUGUAGGCAGAGACACGGCUGACAUCAUUGGAGUCCAGUAAAGUCUUCAGUUCAGUAAUGGUCUGUGUGAUUUCAGGAAUGGUGUGUUUAAUUUCAUCUUCCUGUUUGUCUAAGACAGCCAGGUGUUUGGUGUCCAUUUCCUCCAUGUUAGAUUUCAUGUUUCUGAUAAUGGUGUUUAUUUCUCUGUGCAAGUCUUCUCCAUGUUUGUCGAUUUCUGUUGUUAAUUUCUGGGAGUUUUCAUUCAGAGCAGAUUUCUGGACUGGGAUAAUGGAUGCAAUCUCUUGGUAUCUGGGAUAAAUGCAUUUCUCUAGUUCUUGUAAAUCUUUUUGAAUGAUUUCUUUCCUGCUAUCAAUGUUUUUAGAUAUUUCAAUAAAUUUGUGACUGUAGUGUUCUUUAGAGGAAGCACAUGUUGUACAAAUAGGACUGUCACAUUGUUCACAGUAAAGAACACUUAUGUUUGAGGAAUGUUUUGGACAUUUAGGAGUAGAUCCUCUCUUUUCAAAUGGCAGCACUUUGUGUUCUUUGGAUAGAUCAGAGAGAUGUUCCCCCACACAGGCUUUACACAGAUGUAUGUGACAAAUGUCACAGUACAUAGGGGGGCCCGGGGUCUCACAGAGACGACAACGUAACACAUCCUGGGCCCAGCGCUUGUCCAUGGUCAGAUACUUUUAUUCAUGUUCUGAAAAAAAUAAAACAAAAAUUGGUUUAAUUAUAUAACUAGGAUGAAUUCAGAGGAAGUCCUUGAAAUUUUUUCCCAAGCAUCUUGCAUCAAAUAACAACACAAUUGUUUUUCUUUAAACUUUAUAAAUUUGAAGCACUGUAUCUCUUUUUUUUUAGUUCUAAAAGGGACAUCUUUUUUAGAAAUAUCUCGCAUCAUAAAAUUUGCUUCAACUUAUUACUGUAUUAAGUAUAAAUUUCAAACACUUUUUACCAUUAAAGACUGUACAC
rnacentral:sRNA from 1 species